GCAAACUUGGUCAUUUAGAGGAAGUAAAAGUCGUAACAAGGUUUCCGUAGGUGAACCUGCGGAAGGAUCAUUAAUAAUUAUCCACAAAAUUAAUGGAUAAUUUUAUCCAUAUCCACCUUGUGUGAAUUAUUGAACCGUCUGUUGGCAGGCUAACAACUUUUCCAAUAAUGGAAAACUGUGCGGUUGGCAUUGAAAAGUUUUCAAUGCUUGUGAAAACCAGUCUGCCAAUUUUAUUUUAUUUUAAAACUUGUCUAAAUACUUCUGGUCUGAAAUAUAUAUAAAUUAUAACAAAAUACAACUUUCAACAACGGAUCUCUUGGCUCUCGCAUCGAUGAAGAACGCAGC
rnacentral:misc_RNA from 1 species